UACAGAGGUCCCAAGCGUUGUUCGGAUUCACUGGGCGUAAAGCGUGCGCAGGCGGUUCGUUGUGUCGGCGGUGAAAGCCCCGGGCUUAACCUGGGAAUGGCCGUUGAAACUGGCGAACUGGAGUGUGGCAGAGGGGGUGGAAUUCCGCGUGUAGCAGUGAAAUGCGUAGAGAUGCGGAGGAACACCGAUGGCGAAGGCAGCCCCUGGGCUAACACUGACGCUCAGGCACGAAAGCGUGGGGAGCAAACAGG
rnacentral:rRNA from 1 species